rnacentral:tRNA from 1 species
GCCUGGCUGGCUCAGUCAGUGGAGCAUGUGACUCUUGAUCUUGGGGUUGUGAGUUCAAGCCCCAUGUUGGGCG